rnacentral:rRNA from 1 species
CACGUAGGCGGAUAUUUAAGUCAGGGGUGAAAUCCCAGAGCUCAACUCUGGAACUGCCUUUGAUACUGGGUAUCUUGAGUAUGGAAGAGGUAAGUGGAAUUCCGAGUGUAGAGGUGAAAUUCGUAGAUAUUCGGAGGAACACCAGUGGCGAAGGCGGCUUACUGGUCCAUUACUGACGCUGAGGUGCGGAAAGCGUGGGGAGCAAACA